CGGAGGGUGCAAGCGUUGUCCGGAUUUAUUGGGUUUAAAGGGUGCGUAGGCGGCCCGGUAAGUCAGUGGUGAGAGCCUCCAGCUCAACUGGAGAACUGCCAUUGAUACUGCCGGGCUUGAGUACAGACGAGGUUGGCGGAAUUGAUUGUGUAGCGGUGAAAUGCAUAGAUACAAUCAAGAACUCCGAUUGCGUAGGCAGCUAACUAGGCUGUAACUGACGCUGAGGCACGAAAGCGUGGGGAGCGAACAGGAUUAGAUACCCUGGUAGUCCACGCUGUAAACGAUGAUUACUCGAUGUUGGCGAUAAACUGUCAGCGUCUUAGCGAAAGCGUUAAGUAAUCCACCUGGGGAGUACGCCCGCAAGGGUG
rnacentral:rRNA from 1 species